rnacentral:lncRNA from 1 species
CUAAUGUCAGAAUUUUAUGUCAUAAAUGAGUAAUAAAAAAAAAAACUUAUGUAAAAUAAAUUUGCUUUACAUUAAACCACCUACCAGAGACAUGCAUGAAAAUUUCCCAAAAUAACUGGAGGAGGUAUGAAUGUUGAAAUAUGGAAGAGCCAUUGGUACAUCCAUUUUCUCACAUGCGUCUCUAAUCAUACACAACGGUUUAUUUGUUUAUGAAACACUCCACUCUCCCUUCCAACAACAUGAUGUUUAAUACAGUUCUCAGUGUAAAGCAGUCAAGCAAUCUUUGGAGGACAGCCAUAGGAAAAAGCUCUCUGACUGAUAAGAGCAAAGCCUCGCGGCAUGUGUGACAUUAAUAUUGAUCUGAGAGCAAAGGACGGCUGCUUUGUCACCAUGGAAACGUUUGCUGAGACCGUCUUAAGCUGUGCAGUCUCUGAACAGCCUGAACGACCAGAUCGCUCAUUUCAUGGUGACCAGACCCAAUGCCAUGAGCCACGAAGAGGAAACCUUUCUGCCCACCGAGAGGGAUACUUUGAGCCAAUCCAUGGCUCUAAUGAGACACCUGCUCAUGGAUGCACAGGUAAAAACAUCUUAAAUCAGUUAGGGUUGUGAGCCAUUGAGAACUGCAUGUCUUGUAUACUCCUAUUUCCUAUUGCUUGUAAUUUUGAAUAUAGAACUAACUAAU